UCGUUGAUUCAAGAAAUACUGUUUUAUCAUUUUUGAACUUUAAUACCGUGAUAGGAAAUAGGGUGAGGGGUCCUUACUCGUUUCGGGGUCCGAACACGGCUCCACAGUGCGCCUACAGGCUGUCCCUAAUUUUCCCUGAAUUUUUCUCGGGGAACUGAAACGUACUACUGGUACCUGAACGUGUUCCAAAAAAUCUCAAAUUAGACCCAGGGCCCCUUUCGGCCAAUAUCGCAAUUCCGACAAGGCGGCUCCGCCGU
rnacentral:lncRNA from 1 species